rnacentral:rRNA from 1 species
CCUUUCGGGAACCGAGUAGAGUGGCGCACGGGUGAGUAACACGUAGGUAAUUUUGCCCUUUGGGUGGGGAAUAACAGUCGGAAACGGCUGCCAAUACCGCAUAAUGCAGCGGCUCGACAUCGAGACAGUUGUUAAAGCGGGGGAUCGCAAGACCUCGCGCCUGAAGAGAAGCCUGCGGCAGAUUAGCUAGUUGGUAGGGUAAUGGCCUACCAAGGCGACGAUCUGUAACCGGCCUGAGAGGGCGGUCGGUCACACUGACACUGACAUACGGGUCAGACUCCUACGGGAGGCAGCAGUCGGGAAUUUUGGGCAAUGGGCGAAAGCCUGACCCAGCAACGCCGCGUGAAGGAUGAAAUUUUUCGGAAUGUAAACUUCGCAAGAACGGGAAGAAUAAGUAGAAGCUAAUACCUUCUAUGAUGACGGUACCGUUUGUAAGCUCCGGCUAACUCCGUGCCAGCAGCCGCGGUAAUACGGGGGGAGCAAGCGUUGUUCGGAUUUACUGGGCGUAAAGGGCGCGUAAGCCGCGUGACAAGUCACUUGUGAAAUCUCCGGGCUUAACUCGGAACGGUCAAGUGAUACUGUCGUGCUAGAGUACAGAAGGGGCAACUGGAAUUCUCGGUGUAGCGGUGAAAUGCGUAAAUUUCGAGAGGAACACCUGCCGGCGAAAGCGGGGUUGCUGGGCUGAUACUGACCCUUAAGCGCGAAAGCCAGGGGAGCGAACGGGAUUAGAUACCCCCGGUAGUCCUGGCCUUAACGAUGAAAGCUUGGUGUCUCCGGGUAUAAGUCCCCGGGGUGCCGUCCCUACGCUUUU